rnacentral:misc_RNA from 1 species
CUUGGUCAGAGGAAGUAAAAGUCGUAACAAGGUUUCCGUAGGUGAACCUGCGGAAGGAUCAUUACCGAGUUCGGGGUUUCCCCAACUCCCACCCUUGUUUACCUCAAACGUUGCUUCGGCGAGACGUUGGAAGCAGCCAUCGGCAAUUUGUGACAAAUGCCCCGAUGCGUGCUCGCCGGACUCCAAAUACUCCUAGACUAUGUACAGUCAGAUGAAACAAGCAAUAUAUAAAAACUUUCAACAACGGAUCUCUUGGUUUUG